AUAUGAGUUUAUAUUUACA
rnacentral:miRNA from 1 species